UUAUACUAUCACAAAAACACAGUUAAUUCAGUACUUUUAUGGUGAAUUAUAAACAGACUAAUUGGAUUUAAUUUUCAUAAAAAAUAAGUAACCAAAAAUGACCUCAGCAAAUGUUAGACCUGUGGGAAUAUAGGUUGCCAUUCUUGGAAAACAUUGCCCAAGGAAAGCACAAUGUCUUAAAACCCAUGUAAGAGAAGUAACAACUCUAGAACAAUGGUUCUCAAAGAAUGAUCACAGCAUCGCGUGGGAACUUACACUAAUUCUCACAUUCUACUACAGAUCUACUGAAUCAGAAACUGGAAGUGGAUCCCAUCAUUCUGUGUUUUAAUAAACCUCCCAGGUCUCUUCAGCACCUCCACUCUACGUAGUAUCUUCCAGUCGAUCCUGCCGCUUGCCACUACCCUGGAGUUUGUGCCACUAAGUUGGAAUACCUUGAAAGUUACCUGUUUUUAAGGAACUGUUGAGUAGCUGCCCAUGUAAUAAUAACAACAAUAGCAACAGUAAUAAGAAUGAUUUUAAUCUUAUUUGUCUUCCUUCAAAGGGUCUUAACUGCUUUAAAGGUAAUUAUUUCCCGAACUUGACUAGGCACAGUGCAACCUGGAUGCCUGUGAACACACAGAUGCAUAAGUUACACACUGAAAAUUUUGCUUUAGUAUGUAUGGAGUAGAGCCUGCAAAUCUUUUGUUAUUAUUGUUUUAUUGAAAUUCAAAAGCUUAUUUAGCUCCCCAGCCAGGGGUAAGGGACUGUGUAAGGACUUCCAAUCUGUUAUAGAAAGAGUAUUUUAGUUACUCUGGUAGUCUGCCUUAGUAUUUCUAUACAUUGGGACGGUAAGGAAUUAAUCUGAAGGAAGCAAAAGUAUACACCAAGAUUUUAUUUUUUUAAAAAGCCAUAAGAUUUGUGGUAUACUGACUUGAAUCCCAAUCCUAGACCUGUCUUUCCAGAGCUGUAGAGCCUUAAGCAAACUUCCAUUGCAAGUGUCCUUUUUCUUAUACGUAAAACUAAGAUAAAAUAAACAUACUGUAGUUAAUAUUAAUACUUCACGGGGUUGUGAAAAGAUCCUGUUGAUAAUGGAUGUAAACUGCUUUGAAAAGCAUUAGUCAAAUAUUUUUAUUCUUUGGCUUCAACCUCAACCUGAUCCUUACUUAAAAGUCCAUGCCUUUAAGGGCACAAUUACCAACUGGCAUGUUUACUCUUCUGGCCCAUUAACACUCCCUAGCUUUGAGGUAGCUGAAUAUAGUUAGAUUAUGGCUACAUAAAAAAACAUCAGGCCCAGGUUGUUUUGGUCUACAGUAAGAAAGAAAAGAUUCUGAUGCGUGACCGGAUUCUUUUGCUUACUAAAAUUUAUGGUCUUUCUGGG